GGACUACUGGGGUUUCUAAUCCUGUUCGCUCCCCACGCUUUCGCUCCUCAGCGUCAGUUACUGCCCAGAGACCCGCCUUCGCCACCGGUGUUCCUCCUGAUAUCUGCGCAUUCCACCGCUACACCAGGAAUUCCAGUCUCCCCUGCAGUACUCCAGUCUGCCCGUAUCGCCCGCACGUCCACAGUUAAGCUGUGAAUUUUCACGAACAACGCGACAAACCACCUACGAGCUCUUUACGCCCAGUAAUUCCGGACAACGCUCGGACCCUACGUAUUACCGCGGCGGCUGGCAC
rnacentral:rRNA from 1 species